rnacentral:rRNA from 1 species
GAGUUUGAUUCUGGCUCAGGACGAACGCUGGCGGCGUGCCUAAUACAAGCAAGUCGAACGAACGGAGAAAGAAGCUUGCUUUUUUCAAAGUUAGUGGCGAACGGGUGAGUAACACGUGGGUAACCUGCCCAUCAGAGGGGGAUAACAUUCGGAAACGGAUGCUAAAACCGCAUAGGUUCCUUAGUUGCAUGACUGAGGAAGGAAAAGAGGCGUAAGCUUCUGCUGGUGGAUGGACCCGCGGUGCAUUAGCUAGUUGGUGAGGUAACGGCUCACCAAGGCGAUGAUGCAUAGCCGACCUGAGAGGGUGAUCGGCCACAUUGGGACUGAGACACGGCCCAAACUCCUACGGGAGGCAGCAGUAGGGAAUCUUCCGCAAUGGACGCAAGUCUGACGGAGCAACGCCGCGUGAGUGGAGAAGGUUUUCGGAUCGUAAAACUCUGUUGUUAGAGAAGAAUAAGCAUAAUAGUAACUGAUUAUGCCGUGACG